UUACUGGUAACUCUUGAGAUUCCUUAUUCAUCUGCACUAUUGGCGCCUCUAUCUAUUAUAUCUUUAUAACAGACCGUCCAUCACUGUAUGCUGUUAGAGAGCUGCCUCUUGAACCUCCUCUACAAUCAAAUUCGUAUUUUCAGCAUCAAGGAUCCAAGCUGAUAUUUAUUUGGACUUUCUUGCUUUCACAUAUUUACCAGUGACUCCUCCUGACUCAAGUGUCUGCUUGCUAUGGGGAUCCACUGGCUACCUUGUCUACCCCAUGGACAAACACUGGAUAAGCACACCUACUGCAAAUGAACUGUAUUAAAGCAAAGUGUCUGAGGAAGGCGGAACGCUCUAAGAGGACAAAGACUGUUCUUAAAGUGAUCAGAGGCCACCUAGAGACAGUUGUGCUGUUACCAUAUCAUGCUUUACUGUGGAGAAAGAACUGUUGGACAUAUUGGGGGGGUGCUAGCAAUGCAGGUGGAGAAAUAAAAGAUGCAGCGUUGUUUGGGGGUAGAUGGGGGGCUGGUUGGGUCUUUGUGCAGAUAGAGCAGUAGUUUUGGGGAUGCUGGAAGAUAGACGGAGCGUAUUGGAGAGGCCUCACCUAUGUGCAGUGACAAAUUGUGCCCUAUUAGCCUAUAAAAUUAUACCACGACAUGUGAAUAUUUUUCUCUAUAGUAUUCUCACAUAGAGUUCUGUUACCGUAGUUUUAGGCUCAUACUGUUGUUAAAGGCUUUCCUCAUUUUCU